rnacentral:rRNA from 1 species
AUGAACGCUAGCGGCAGGCCUAACACAUGCAAGUCGAGGGGUAACAGUCCGGAGCAAUCUGGAGCUGACGACCGGCGCACGGGUGAGUAACGCGUAUGCAACUUUCCUCUAACAGAGAGAUAGCCCGAAGAAAUUCGGAUUAAUAUCUCAUAACAUCAUGAAAUCGCAUGGUUUUAUGAUUAAAGCUCCGGCGGUUAGAGAUGGGCAUGCGUGACAUUAGUUAGUUGGUGAGGUAACGGCUCACCAAGGCAACGAUGUCUAGGGGUUCUGAGAGGAUGAUCCCCCACACUGGUACUGAGACACGGACCAGACUCCUACGGGAGGCAGCAGUGAGGAAUAUUGGGCAAUGGACGCAAGUCUGACCCAGCCAUGCCGCGUGCAGGAUGACGGCCCUACGGGUUGUAAACUGCUUUUGUACGAGAAGAAUUCUCUUGACGUGUCAGGGGUUGACGGUAUCGUACGAAUAAGCAUCGGCUAACUCCGUGCCAGCAGCCGCGGUAAUACGGAGGAUGCAAGCGUUAUCCGGAUUUAUUGGGUUUAAAGGGUGCGUAGGCGGGAUAUUAAGUCAGUGGUGAAAUCCUGCAGCUUAACUGUAGAACUGCCAUUGAUACUGAUAUUCUUGAGUAUAGUUGAAGUGGGCGGAAUGUGUAAUGUAGCGGUGAAAUGCUUAGAUAUUACACAGAACACCGAUUGCGUAGGCAGCUCGCUAAACUAAUACUGACGCUGAGGCACGAAAGCGUGGGGAGCGAACAGGAUUAGAUACCCUGGUAGUCCACGCUGUAAACUAUGAUCACUCGUUGUUGGCAAUACACAGUCAGCGACUGAGCGAAAGCAUUAAGUGAUCCACCUGGGGAGUACGGCCGCAAGGUUGAAACUCAAAGGAAUUGACGGGGGCCCGCACAAGCGGAGGAACCUGUGGGUUUAUUCGAUGAUACGCG